GAAUGGCCGGGAAUGGAGUGGCCGGGAAUGGCUGGGAAUGGAAUGGAAUGGCCGGGAACGGCCGGGAAUGGAAUGGAAUGGCCGGGAAUGGCUGGGAAUGGCCGGGAAUGGCCGGGAAUGGAGUGGCCGGGAACGCGCUCGGGGACACGCGUGUCACCCCCCGCGGGUCACGGAGCCUCGACAGAACCUCUGGGGUGGGAGACCCCAAAACCCUCGUCCUGGAGCUUCGCCUGGAGCUGGGAAGUGCGGCCGCAACACCCUCGCUGUUCCCGGCUGGAAAACGCCUCCACAGCUGCCCGUGGACCUGCCCAGACCGGAGGGUCCUGGAGCCCUGAGCUGGAGCUGCUGCAGGGGAUCAGAGCACGGGACCAUCCUGUUCCCCAGCACGGAGCCUGGAGGGGAGGGCAUCCCUGCUGGGACUGACCUGCUGCCAGUGCUGCUGGGCCCGCUGCUGCAGGGUGCUGCAGGGGGCUGGGUAACACCUGUGCCCACGGUGCCACCUCGCUGUGCUGGAGAGUCAAUCCCUGUGCCAGACCCACUGCCAGGCAGGGCAGGAGCGACAUUCCCGUUUGCCAUCGGAGCCACACGGAGCCUUUUCCCUUUUCCCUCUCCGCUGCCCAUGAGUGCAACCCAGCAACUGCUGACUGGAACGUUUCUAUUGUGGAGUUUAUGCUAAAUAUGCAUAUCUUAAUUGCAUUAGUCAAAAUAAUUAGCUAAUAUAUUUUUGCAUAAUGACGAGGUAAGCAAAUAUCACCAUAGCUCAGUGCUUCGUGCCUGAGUAAAUUUGGGAAAUUAAUAGACUCCCAAUUUCCUAAUUAUCUGCCUUUUAUUCCAAACUCCAACAACGAAACGCUCCUGCGUUUUGUCAUUUGCUUUGCGCCUUGGAAAUUUUUAAGCACCUGGUUUUCCCUUUUUCCCCCCCAGCUUUAACAAGGAAAUGGGAGCCAUCCUUCCUCCCCUUCCCUGCUUUAGGCACUCAGAGUGGAGGAUCACGAAGUCGUGAGCUUCCUGAUUUCCAGACAGAGCUCGAGUAGGAAUUGGAGCAAGGCAUUUUAGACUUAAAAAUAUGUAUUUAGCUGGAAAAGAAUUAAAAAUUAAAUUUAAAGUCUGAAAAGAAUUAAAAAUUAAUUCUUUGGAUGGGAAGAUGGGCAGUGAUGUUUGGGCAUUUAAUCCCUCUGGAGGUGGAUUGUUUUUCCAGGGGUGUUUGCAGAAGUGCAGGGCUGGAGUGUUCCUAAAUCCCUAAAAACCCCCACGUAAUCCUGAAAAUUGCACCAAAAAAAGGUAUUUAAAGAAAGUGUUUUUUCCAACAGCAGUUUUUGUGCAUCUCUAAUUUGCCCAUUUUCCUUUGUUUUCUGGUGAUGCAGGACUCAGAUCUUCUCCUUUCCCUGGAUCAAGAGCCAAGGUGCUGCUGCCCAGACGGGAUUCCCCGGGAAUGGGGCCAGUAUCCGGACCAUGGGAUGUGGGCGCCCUCGGCACGACACUUGGUAAGGCUGCACCCAAC